GUGCUUACUUCAGCAGCACAUACACUAAAAUUGGAAUGACGCGAAGAUUAACAUGGCCCCUGUGCAAAGGAUGAUAGGUAAAUGUUUGGUAGAAUUCACUUGUGA